GGGCGAUUAGCUCAGCGGUAGAGCACUCGCCUUACAAGCGAGGGGUCACUGGUUCGAACCCAGUAUCGCCCACCG
rnacentral:tRNA from 1 species